rnacentral:rRNA from 1 species
GUUGGGAAUCGUUCGCAAUGGACGAAAGUCUGACGACGCGACGCCGCGUGCGGGAUGAAGCUCUUCGGAGUGUAAACCGCUUUUCUGGGGGAAAAAGAUCUGAUGGUACCCCAGGAAUAAGAGGUUGCUAACUCUGUGCCAGCAGCAGCGGUAAUACAGAGACCUCGAGCGUUUUCCGGAAUCAUUGGGCGUAAAGCGUCCGUAAACGGCUAGACAAGUCGAGCUUGAAAGCCCGCGGCUCAACCGCGGAUCCGGGUUCGAGACUGUCUGGCUAGAGGAUUGGAGAGGCCGAUGGAAUUCCCGGUGUAGCAGUGAAAUGCGUUAAUAUCGGGAAGAACACCUAUAGCGUAAGCAUUCGGCUGGCCAAUUCCUGACGUCCAGGGACGAAAGCGUGGGGAGCGAACGGGAUUAGAAACCCCGGUAGUCC